GCAUUGCUUGAUGAAUGAUAUCCAAGGAUAGAAAUAUCUUUAUUAGAUUUGGCAUUAUUUUUCAAGAGAACAUAUCAAGCAUAACAUGUACGACUGAAAAAUAUGAGAGAUACGCAAUAGUUCGUUUUCUAUUUUUCAGAAGAUCAAAAGAAGUUUUCAUCAAAGAUAGAUCUAAUAGAAGUCAUAUGUAUGACAAGCAGUGAUGAUAGCUUUUAAACAUCAUUUUAAGUAGAUGACUAUCAUACAACAUUGCCUUUUUCAAUUCUUCAAAGAUUCUAUUAAUCCUAUUUUACCUAUAGUGUUCUUGGUGCAGAAAGAAUUGUAUUCAAUAUUAUUUUCUGUGCACAACUUAACACAAAAAUUGGUUUUCAAAACUAUGCUGUGAUUCAUAGUUUGCAAACCUUUAUCAUUUGAUCGCUUUUUGUGAGUUUGUGCCAAUGCAGAAAAUAUUUCAAUUUGAGUACCAAGAACAAGGCUAAUGUAAGCUUUUGAAAAAUUAGUGUUGGAAACA
rnacentral:lncRNA from 1 species